rnacentral:rRNA from 1 species
UCUCUGGUGAAAUCCCACAGCUUAACUGUGGGAAUUGCUGGAGAUACUAUCAUGACUCGAGGUCGGGAGAGGCUGGAGGUACUCCCAGGGUAGGGGUGAAAUCCUGUAAUCCUGGGAGGACCACCUGUGGCGAAGGCGUCCAGCUGAAACGAACCUGACGGUGAGGGACGAAAGCCAGGGGCGCGAACCGGAUUAGAUACCCGGGUAGUCCUGGCCGUAAACGAUGUGGACUUGGUGUUGGGAUGGCUUCGAGCUGCCCCAGUGCCGAAGGGAAGCUGUUAAGUCCACCGCCUGGGAAGUACGGCCGCAAGGCUGAAACUUAAAGGAAUUGGCGGGGGAGCACCAC